rnacentral:lncRNA from 1 species
UGUCAGGGUGCCAAGCUAGUCUCUGACAAAAACCAAAACAAACAAAAACUCCCAGUGUCUGAAAUAAACUCAAAACAUUCAAGGAUGGGUCAAUUCCUUAUGGCUUUUCUUAAGGGGUGAAGUGGUGCAGUGACUGCGUAGUCCUGUGGCAAGAUCACUCAGAGCCACUCUGUAGAUGUGGAAUUCCAGGUUAACCGAAUGGAGCAGCUGGCUCAAGUAGACACUUCUCAACCCUGCAUUGAAAGCUACUCGCAAGAUCCCGUGAGGCAAGUACUGUUAAUAUUAUCCUUCCUUUCCCAAAUGAGACAGAGGUACUACAAGGUUAAGCCAUGGAGGCCUGCCUGCUUCACCCAGUGCUAGUUUCUCUUCUCUUGGAUUCCCAAGGUCUUGGUUACAGAAGAUCUCUUUCUUGAUCUAAGUAUAUGCUGAUGUGAAAAUACAUUGUGUUUUGAGGGAGAAGCAUAUUCUCAACAGAUUCCACGGUUGACAAAGCCCUGUCCCUCUGCCCUGCAGGAAAAGCCCUGGGCAUGAAGUGGCUCUGACAUGCAAAUUACAGAACCAGCUUCCUGGUGGCAGGGAGACCUCAGAUGUGGGGCAAGGCCAGUGAAACCUUUGAUCCAGUGAAACCUUUGGUUUUAGGGCUUUCUAGUGAUAUUAGCACAGUGGUCUCAGGUUCCAAUGAUAGGUGGAGGGAUUUCAUCUCUCCAUGAAAGACCCUUUCACAUAUUUAUUCAUGUUAUUAAGCAUAAUGUUUAGAGAUAUUUUCUGUUAAAAAUAAUAUUCAAGUCCAUGGAAAGGAAAAGAAUCCAUGCCCCUCCUAAUCCCCCCCCUUUUUUUAAAACUGUACUUUAGGUUUUGAGGUACAAGUGCAGACCAUGCAGGAUUAGUGCACAGGUACAUACGUGGCAAGGUGGUUUGCUGCCUUCAUCCCCCCGCCCCCCCAUCACCUAUACCUGGUAUUCCUCCCCUCAUUAUCCCUACCCCCUCCCCACCACGGCUGUCCCUCUCCUAGCCAGCC